UAGCCAACCAAAUUUGGCGCUUGAGAAAGGUCGGUCGCGCUGAUCCGAUGGAUUCAAGCACAAAAUACUGCAUUCUUCGAGAUUUUUGCGGUCACAACUCCACAUACCUGCAUGGUCGUCCCUUCUCUCGGUUCUUACAUAUCGGCCGUGAAUUCUGUGUGAGAGGAGGGUUACAGCGAAUCAAGCAGUGAAGGAGUGGGCGUGGCAGAGCCGAUCAAGGUUUUAAAAUAAGGGUGAUGACUUUUAUGUAUUUGGAAAGCUAAUUGGAAGCUACAUAAAGGAAUAAAUAUGACGGGCUAAUAUUUAAAAAAAAAUUUUAAUAGAGACCACGACAAUGAAUUAAGGCUACAUGGGACACCUGCACAAGCAUUGGAUUUUGUCCUGCAACAUCUUAAAGGAAGCGGGCUGUGAGCCAAGGGAAAAGCAGAAGACAGAUAUGAAUGCGUUCCCAAGCUUUCCUCGUGGUUUAUGUCAUUCUCCAAACUCCCAAGCAAGGGCUAUUCCUGACCAAGAAGACCCAAGGAGACCGUCUCUAAAAUCAAGUCCGGAUGGAGAGUUUCACUGAAGAAGACUGUGAAGAGUCGGUCGAUAAUUGAACUUCAAUACUGAACUUCAGUCCUUUGGCUUAAACCUUUGAUCCCGGCUGAAAUCUACAUUUCCCUUGGACAAGUAACACUUUUACACUAUUACUGUACAGUCAUCUGAAGGGAGCCUCUUGUAUCCCUCCAUCUUUGGAUUUUUAGCAUGUUAGCACCAGGCCUGGUUUAUGUGGUACCUGCUGAGUGAGUUGUGUCAAAGAAACAGCCCUGCUGGAAGCACAUACAGCCUGGCAAGCGCUGCACGCCCACCGCACUCGGGGGCCUUCUCAGAUGAGCAGAACUAAGAGAAAAAAAAUGAAUAUGGUUUUUGCUCACAGAAUGGAUAACCGCAAGCCACGUUUGGUUAUUCCGACACUUCUGGUGCCUCUCCAAAACCACAGCUGCACUGAAACAGCUACGCCUCUGCCAAACCAUGACCUGAUGGAUUUAUAUGAGGAGCACAGUUGGAUGAGCAACAGAACAGACCUGCAAUAUGGACUGAAACCCGGGGAAGUGGCCACAGCCAGCAUUUUCUUUGGGACCCUGUGGUUGUUUUCUAUCGUUGGCAAUUCCUUGGUCUGUUUGGUCAUCCACCGGAGCAGGAGGACUCAGUCCACCACCAACUACUUUGUGGUCUCCAUGGCCUGUGCCGAUCUUCUCGUCAGCUUUGCCAGCACGCCUUUCGUCCUGCUGCAGUUCACCACCGGAAGGUGGACACUUGGUGGUGCGAUGUGCAAGGUGGUUCGGUAUUUCCAGUAUCUCACCCCAGGCGUCCAGAUCUAUGUGCUCCUCUCCAUCUGCAUAGACCGGUUCUAUACCAUUGUCUACCCUCUGAGCUUCAAGGUGUCCAGAGAAAAAGCCAAGAAAAUGAUUGCAGCGUCGUGGGUCUUUGAUGCAGCCUUUGUGACCCCCGUGUUCUUUUUCUACGGCUCCGGCUGGGACAACCACUGUAACUAUUUCCUCCCCUCCUCCUGGGAAGGAACUGCCUAUACUGUCAUCCACUUCUUGGUGGGCUUUGUGAUUCCAUCUGUCCUCAUAAUCUUAUUUUACCAGAAGGUCAUAAAGUAUAUUUGGAGAAUAGGCACUGAUGGCCGAACUGUGAGGAGAACAAUGAACAUUGUCCCAAGGACAAAAGUGAAAACUAUCAAGAUGUUCCUCAUUUUAAACCUAUUGUUUUUGCUCUCCUGGCUGCCUUUUCAUGUGGCUCAGCUGUGGCACCCCCAGGAACGAGACUAUAAGAAAAGUUCCCUUGUGUUCACAGCAAUCACAUGGAUAUCCUUUAGUUCUUCAGCCUCUAAACCUACUCUGUAUUCAAUUUAUAAUGCCAAUUUUAGGAGAGGAAUGAAAGAGACUUUUUGCAUGUCCUCGAUGAAAUGUUACCGAAGCAAUGCCUAUACUAUCACAACCAGUUCAAGGAUGGCCAAAAAAAACUAUGUUGGCAUUUCAGAAAUCCCUCCCCUGGCCAAAACUAUAACCAAAGACUCAAUCUAUGAUUCAUUUGAUAGAGAAGCCAAGGAAAAAAAGCUUGCUUGGCCCAUUAACUCAAAUCCACCAAAUACUUUUGUCUAAUUUCUCAGAAUUCUUUCAAUUAUUGUUAUGCGCCAGAGAUUAAAAAAGCUUUAACUAUAAAAAACACGUCUCUCUAAAGAACACACAAGUGGCCAAACCCAUCCAGGCCUCGAUGAGCUUCCUGGCUGCUGCUCUGGUGGAAGUCUAAUGUUUAGAGGACCUGACCAUUCUUAAAAGGAGAGUCUAGAUGAAAUUUACUGAGCUGGCCCUCACCUUUUCCUUGGCUGUGGAUAGGUUGUUGGAUUAGUGGUGCUGAAUGUCUGAGAUACGGAAAGAAGCCUGUACAUUCCCACCUCACAGACACAGGGAUAUGAAACAAAACUGGGGUUGAUAUUUGGGGUAAGCAACAAUGAUAAAACAUUUCAUCUGCAAAACAUCUAUAGAGCUGACGUUUUUAAUUGGAGGUGUUUCAACACAUUCAAAAGAUAAAAGUAAUCGCUCAUGUUUUUCUUCCUUUUCUUUCUCCUCAUAUUCCUAACUCAUCUCAUCAGUAAACGGUACUCUAAAAAUGACAAAGUGUGCCCGAUGUUUGUGUCACUUGGCCCUUGAAUUUUAUGGUUCAGGCUUGUUAAAAAAAAUAGAAAUAAUUUAGUUUUUGCCCUUUUAAGUGGAAUAUUAUUUUUUUAAGUUAGAUUGUAAAAAGUUAAAUUUAAUUCAUUUCAAAUUUAUUUUUAUGUUUAAUUUAGUUCUCAGUUUAAACUAAAAGAGAUUACUGCGUGAUUACUAAGCUCCAUUCUGUCUUUAAUGUUCUAAGAGCUGACGCCAGUAAGUGGAAAUUCAGUGAGACCAUCUUAUAAACUCUUGUUAUAGAAGGUACUAGCUUUUUAAAAAUACCCCACAUAAUGACAAAUUAAGAGGGUGUGGAGAAAGAGCCAGGAGUGCAGUUUCCA